GGCCUAGACCACUAAGGGCCGUGACGUGGUGCCGCUGAGCUUGGACCCCGACCAGAAGAUAGAGAUUGAAACGAUGAGGAAAACGAAGUGCCUAAUCCCCGCUGGACGCUAACUGCAGGGCAAGCUCCCCAGUGUUGUAGUUGUGUUUCGGAGGCCGAGAACCGCUAUCGGGCUUCCUCGGACUCUGGCCCUGGAGGGGGGAAACGGCGAGGGAGAAGGCGAAACGAGUCUCCAGUGUGUUCUUGGGGCCUGGUGCGAGGCCCAGAGAAUUCUCUGCAGGCCUUUGCCCGGGCACUGAUUAAGGCUGCGAAGAGACGCACCGGGCUGCGGGCUUAGUAGCUUCAGGCUUCUGAAGUCAGAGGGAGGGCUGAGAGCUUACACUUCUGGAGCUCCCCGGGAGACGGCAACUACCCAACCGUGUGGCACCCAGAAAUACUCUCCACACCAUGCUGCACUGCUGCGGAUGAGGGAAGGAUGGUGUCGGGGCUUCAAGACUGUUUUUCCUACCUCUUCAGUGCCUCUUUCAGUGAUAUGAAGUUAAAACCAGGAACAUGGAGGAGACAUAUUUCCACCUAUUUCUCUCCAUAAGUAUAAAAGACCAUAAAAGACCAUCUAGGGACUUCAGAACCCAAAUAAUGACACAAUGUUAAUUUGCAGGUUCUCCCUCUGCCUGCCACCCCACCCAGCAAGGAGGAGAGGAAGUGUUGAGAAGGGAAGAGAUGAGUCCUGGCCCUGUCACUUCUUAGGGGUGUGCUUUUGAACAACCUGCUCACCAUGUAUGAACUUCACUCUUCUUGUUUAUAAAAUGAGGACAAUGACACCUGCAAGACUGUGAGGUUUAAAAACAAAAUCUGUGUUGAGAGGUAACUUGCCUCUUUUACUUACCAAUGAUUUCCUCAAUGCCUGGUGACUGGGGCUGGUUCAUACUAGACGAUCAAUAAAUGCUCCUUGAAUGAAUAGGUGGAUGAAAGAAAUGUCUGGCAUCUAUCACAGGUGCUGGCACUGAUAAGUGCUUGAUAAAUAGGCUGGCUGACUGUGAGUGAUGCUGACGGGCAAAGGACAGAGACACCAGGAAGGAGAACAGGACACGAAAGAUAACUGUCUCAGCCCUUGGGGAGUUUCUGACCCAGGAGGAUGGGAACAUCAAUUAUCAAUAGUUACAGAUCAUUAAAUAAUUGCAAGUGUGAGGCGCACUAUAAAGAGGAGGCUCAGAGUCCCCGCAUGCUCACACUCACACCUGGCCACAGACAGGUGACACCCCUGGCUUGCCCAGGCCAGCGGGUCUGCAAUGAGGCCAAGGACCUGGGCUCUUGAGAAGUUUUAAGUUUGAAAACAUUGCUUUUUAAGCUUAAAACAAUGAACCUUAAUAAAAGUAAACACUUCCAUUGAGCUUUGAAACACUUAAUAGGAGUUAAAAGUAAUUAGGCUAAUAAAAUAGUCUUUUGUUCCAAUUC
rnacentral:lncRNA from 1 species